GACGAACGCUGGCGGCGUGCUUAACACAUGCAAGUCGAACGGGUCUGCCCUGUUUUUUGCGGGGUGGGUCAGUGGCGAACGGGUGAGUAACACGUGAGUAACCUGCCCCUCACUUCUGGAUAACCGCUUGAAAGGGUGGCUAAUACGGGGUGUUCUGGCUGUGCCGCAUGGUGUGGCUGGGAAAGAUUCACUUUUGUGGUGUUUUGGUGGGGGAUGGGCUCGCGGCCUAUCAGCUUGUUGGUGGGGUGAUGGCCUGCCAAGGCUUUGACGGGUAGCCGGCCUGAGAGGGUGGGCGGUCACACUGGGACUGAGAUACGGCCCAGACUCCUGCGGGAGGCAGCAGUGGGGGGUAGUGCACAAUGGGCGGAAGCCUGAUGCAGCGACGUCGCGUGAGGGAUGGAGGCCUUCGGGUUGUGAACCUCUUUCGCCGGUGAAGAAGGUCCUGCUCUUUGGGGGGGGGUUGACGGUAGCCGGGUUAUGAAGCGCCGGCUAACUACGUG
rnacentral:rRNA from 1 species